rnacentral:rRNA from 1 species
AACGAACGCUGGCGGCAUGCCUAACACAUGCAAGUCGAACGAGACCUUCGGGUCUAGUGGCGCACGGGUGCGUAACGCGUGGGAACCUGCCCUUAGGUUCGGAAUAACUCCCCGAAAGGGGUGCUAAUACCGGAUAAUGUCUUCGGACCAAAGAUUUAUCGCCCUUGGAUGGGCCCGCGUUGGAUUAGCUAGUUGGUAGGGUAAAAGCCCACCAAGGCGACGAUCCCUAGCUGGUCUGAGAGGAUGAUCAGCCACACUGGGACUGAGACACGGCCCAGACUCCUACGGGAGGCAGCAGUGGGGAAUAUUGGACAAUGGGCGAAAGCCUGAUCCAGCCAUGCCGCGUGAGUGAUGAAGGCCUUAGGGUUGUAAAGCUCUUUUACCCGGGAUGAUAAUGACAGUACCGGGAGAAUAAGCUCCGGCUAACUCCGUG